AGGACGAACGCUGGCGGCGUGCUUAACACAUGCAAGUCGAGCGGUAAGGCCUCUUCGGGGGUACACGAGCGGCGAACGGGUGAGUAACACGUGAGUAAUCUGCCCUUCACUUCGGGAUAAGCUUCGGAAACGGGGUCUAAUACCGGAUACGACACUUUCAGGCAUCUGAUGAGUGUGGAAAGUUUUUUCGGUGGGGGAUGUGCUCGCGGCCUAUCAGCUUGUUGGUGGGGUAAUGGCCUACCAAGGCUUCGACGGGUAGCCGGCCUGAGAGGGUGACCGGCCACACUGGGACUGAGACACGGCCAAGACUUCUACCGGAGGCAGCAGUGGGGAAUAUUGGACAAUGGGCGGAAGCCUGAUCCAGCAACGCCGCGUGAGGGAUGACGGCUUCGGUUGUAAACCUCUUUCAGUA
rnacentral:rRNA from 1 species